CAGUAGCCGCGGGAAUACGUAGGUGGCAAGCGUUGUCCGGAAUUAUUGGGCGUAAAGGGCUCGCAGGCGGUUUCUUAAGUCUGAUGUGAAAGCCCCCGGCUCAACCGGGGAGGGUCAUUGGAAACUGGGAAACUUGAGUGCAGAAGAGGAGAGUGGAAUUCCACGCGUAGCGGUGAAAUGCGUAGAGAUGUGGAGGAACACCAGUGGCGAAGGCGACUCUCUGGUCUGUAACUGACGCUGAGGAGCGAAAGCGUGGGGAGCGAACAGGAUUAGAUACCCCCGUAGUCCCUGUCUCUUAUAC
rnacentral:rRNA from 1 species